GGCUCUGCGACAGAGACAGUGAGCUGUGGCGGUCUGUAAAACCGUUGUCGAGAGACUGAGUAGGUGCAAAUCCUACCGGAGCCA
rnacentral:tRNA from 1 species